GGCUCAGGAUGAACGCUAGCGGCAGGCUUUAUACAUGCAAGUCGUGGGGCAGCAGGAGUAGCAAUACUUGCUGGCGACCGGCAAACGGGUGCGUAACACGUACGCAACCUUCCUACAGGCGGGGAAUAGCCCAGAGAAAUUUGGAUUAAUACCCCAUAAGAUUUUGGAGUGGCAUCACUCUAUUAUUAAAGCUUCGGCACCUGAAGAUGGGCGUGCGGCUGAUUAGGUAGUUGGCGGGGUAACGGCCCACCAAGCCUUCGAUCAGUAGCUGAUGUGAGAGCAUGAUCAGCCACACGGGCACUGAGACACGGGCCCGACUCCUACGGGAGGCAGCAGUAAGGAAUAUUGGUCAAUGGACGCAAGUCUGAACCAGCCAUGCCGCGUGGAGGAUGAAGGUCCUCUGGAUUGUAAACUUCUUUUAUUUGGGACGAAAAAAGGGAAUUCUUUCUCACUUGACGGUACCAGAUGAAUAAGCACCGGCUAACUCCGUGCCAGCAGCCGCGGUAAUACGGAGGGUGCAAGCGUUAUCCGGAUUCACUGGGUUUAAAGGGUGCGUAGGCGGGUAUGUAAGUCAGCGGUGAAAUCCCCGAGCUUAACUUGGGAACUGCCGUUGAUACUAUAUAUCUUGAAUGUCGUGGAGGUUAGCGGAAUAUGUCAUGUAGCGGUGAAAUGCUUAGAUAUGACAUAGAACACCCAUUGCGAAGGCAGCUAACUACGCGAAUAUUGACGGUGAGGCACGAAAGCGUGGGGAUCAAACAGGAUUAGAUACCCUGGUAGUCCACGCCCUAAACGAUGAUUACUCGACAUGGGCGAUACACAGUCAGUGUCUGAGCGAAAGCAUUAAGUAAUCCACCUGGGAAGUACGAACCGCAGGGUGAAACUCAAAG
rnacentral:rRNA from 1 species